rnacentral:rRNA from 1 species
GACGAACGCUGGCGGCGUGCUUAACACAUGCAAGUCGAACGGAAAGGCCCUGCUUUUGUGGGGUGCUCGAGUGGCGAACGGGUGAGUAACACGUGAGUAACCUGCCCUUGACUUUGGGAUAACUUCAGGAAACUGGGGCUAAUACCGGAUAGGAGCUCCUGCUGCAUGGUGGGGGUUGGAAAGUUUCGGCGGUUGGGGAUGGACUCGCGGCUUAUCAGCUUGUUGGUGGGGUAGUGGCUUACCAAGGCUUUGACGGGUAGCCGGCCUGGGAGGGUGACCGGCCACAUUGGGACUGAGAUACGGUCCAGACUCCUACGGGAGGCAGCAGUGGGGAAUAUUGCACAAUGGGCGGAAGCCUGAUGCAGCAACGCCGCGUGCGGGAUGCCGGCCUUCGGGUUGUAAACCGCUUUCGCCUGUGACGAAGCGUGAGUGACGGUAAUGGGUAAAGAAGCACCGGCUAACUACGUG